rnacentral:lncRNA from 1 species
CUUGGCUGCAGGCCACGCCGUGCCUGGCUGAGCUGCCCCCGGAGCUGUCAACACGGGUGUGCGUGCUGGGAGGAUCAUAUCAGAUAACGGGCCCGAGAGAAGAUGGUUGAUAGUAAAUCAUUCCGCAUGUUUGAGGAGAUUGUCAUUUCAUAUGGGCCGUGGCAGGGUCUGAAUUCACGGCUGAAGGAGCCUCAACUCCUGUUACUGCAAAGGGUUGUCCACGCUGGGUGGUCAUUGGAGAGUUUGCCGCUGCUGACCAGCUGGCCGUCAGUCCUGGAGCACCGAGAGGAGUGGAGGAUGCACAAGGACUGCAGUGGAGACGCUGCUGUCCCCCUCCCCUGA